rnacentral:lncRNA from 1 species
AAAUAUGUUUUUGUUUUUUAACAUCGCUUUUUCUUGAGAUUUAUUUGAUAAGAAAUUGAUUUCCUUACAUUUUUUUUGGAUGCUGAGAACAAGUUUGGUUAAGUUUAGAAAAAUCCCCUUAUGAUUGCUCAAGUGUAGAAAUAAUAUUUGUCCUUGGAAAUUUUCAAGGUGGAAGUUAAUUGUCUGGAAACUUUUAAGCUAAGCUUACAUCUACCUUGAAACUUGGUUUGAGGCAGAGAUUUUGAAUCAACUUUGAAUACUGAUUUAAGUAUGACUUGAAAGUUUGAAAUAUGGAGCCGUUUGGUUCUCUUUCAAAAUUCAAUUAUUUCCUUUUUUAAGACUGAUUUAUCCUCGACAUAUUUCGUGUUGUUUCUAAAGAAAUUGGAAAGUGCAUCCAUGUGGCUCUGUAGUAGAUCAUUUUCCAACUGACUUGAUUUUGGUUUGACCAACUGAGCAAUAUCCAAUAUGUUCAUGUUUAAUUCGUAGCCAGCAUUAUGGUUUGACCAAGUGAGCAAUAUCCAAUAUGUUUAAUUCGUAGCCAGCAUUAUGGUUUGACCAACGGAGCAAUAUCCAAUAUGUUCAUUCAAAGGUUUUUAAGAGUAACUUUAAAGUUUAUACUUCAAUAGGUUUUGUGACAAAAUAAUUUUCUUACUUUUUUAUAAGCUUAGCUAAAUAAUAUGCUGGCAAUACAUGCUCAGAGCCAGAGGUGUCAAAUGUGGAGCCAAGUUCCCAAGUUUAACCCCUUGUAAGUCUUUGCAAUAACACUAGUAAUAACAAUUUUAAAACAAGAGGCUUAGUUUCGAGUUGAUAAAAUGAGUGUCUUGGGUACAAAUUUUUAGUAAUCAUUUCAUUUUCUAGUUCGUCAUAUUAACUGAAUUAAGCUUGAAUGCAG